CACGCGCUAAGCCUACUUUAGUUUUGCCACAUUCUUUACACCGCUCAAACGAACAACAUCUAUACUCUACUUCACACUGUUCUUCCUCGAAAUUGUCAGUGUUCAACUCCUCUUCCAAUUUCCUCUGUCUCUUUCAAUCUUCUCUCUUCCUGGACAAUUUAUUCGCUUUGAUCGUACUGUUAUAAGAUUUUCUAACAGAAAGAAAGCUAGAACAAGAUCAAGAUCACUAGCACUGAUCUAAACUCCUUGACAUCAGUUUCAUGUAAAACUGAUCCAUACUACCAUGGUAGUUGCAAAACUUUCUUACGUUUGUCCAAUAGCAUGCUCAAUAAAACGUUAAUGUUCUUUAUUGACAUGUUGAUAUCGAUAAUAUGCAGGUUGUUGACAUAACCUUUAUUAAGAAAAAAUUAUGGUCUAGACCAAGUAAGUCAACAUGUGCUUCUAUUGCUACAUAUGGUGACGAUGAGUAUCUUGCUUGCUCUCUUUAUAGCAUUUCAUUUUUUUGCUCAAAAUGAACUCAAGUUUAAUUUGCCGAUAACUAUUUUCUGAAAAUAGAUUGACAUCCUCCUAUGAACAUUGAUCUUUUCUACCUUAUCAAAAAAAAAAAUGAAUAUUGAUCUUUCCCUGAGCAAUGCGCUACGUCCUACAAUGUUGAAGAACCGAUUUGCUGACACCAUCAUCAAAGUGAAACAGAAAUCUCUUUCACUUGAUGAGUAUAUUUUGUAUCACAUAGUUGAAUCAGCAUGAUAAGUCUAAUCUGCAGUCUGAAAGAGCCUAUCUCUUAUCCAACAAUAUUCUUUCAUAUUCGACAGUAAUAGCUUUACUGCAGAUUUUCCUAAUCGCCUGUGUUGUUUUCUUUUGUCCUGCUUUAACUCAAGCUUGGUCUCUUUCGUCCGUAGUAUUAUCUUCUUGCGUCAGCAUCAUACUAAUUGAGUUUGUUCAUCCUUACAUCAUAGGUGUCUUAUUAUACUAAAUGGCAAUUUGAAGAAUCUGUUUAUUGAAGCACAUAUUGAUUUUGACAUUAUAUUAGAAGUAUUAGUAUAAUAAUCGCAUAGAAAAACUGAUAACUAGAUUUCUUUUUAUUUCUAGGUAGGUUGAAGAUUGCACUGGACAUACUACUUUUCUUUCCUUUUCUUGUUCUUUGUACUGGAAUUUCUGCUACUUCUUUCUUCUUUGAAGUGUAUUAUGUUCGGUAAAUAUACGGUUUUACGAUGAGUGUACCGUUAAAGUUGAAGGUUAAUGGACUUUCAAAUGAGAAAAAGUCCAACAGUCCAUUCUUUCUAAUGUUCUGCAUGUUUGUUGACUUCUGUUGGUCUGCUAUAAAAAGGUAUACCACAGAUGUGAAGUUCUAUAAUCAGGAAUUCAACAAACACGUUUUGUAGAGAAAAAAUGUUCAUUUGUCACCAACCAUUUGCUAUUAUAUUCUGGUAGUAAUAACAUUAUUGCAGAUCUAUGGAUGUUCCUCUAAGAUAACCCUAAUAACAUUAUUGUACAUCUAUAGAUGUUUCUUUAAGACCACCUUUCAUUUUGUUUCACUAUGAGAAACUUUAUUUCUCAUGAUUUGUUAUUGUUUUAUUCAUUUCAUUUGAUAGGGUAAUCUUUAUAGCCAAGAUAUUACCAGUUUAAGGUAUGAAAAAAAUCCCUUUAGAAAUACAAGGUAGUUAGACUUUACACAAUAGAACAAUUGUGAUUCAGCUCUGCCCUUGAUCCUAUACAUAAUGGGAGCUUAAUGUACCAGUUCGGUAUUUAUUGUUCUACUCUAUAAACUGCAAACAUGAUAGGAUUAUAUUUACAAUCUUAUAGAAGUUUGUAGCCUUCUGCUUUCCCUCAUCGAAAUCAUAGCUUUCCCUGAAAUAUCAAGUGUUGCAAAUAUGAUGGAAGUUAAAAGCACAAUUGUACCUCACAGUGGUAUCUCAGCCUGAAAAAUCUACAGAAUAUUAUAUCUGGACUGGGAUCACAGAGUUUAUACGUUUAUGGCAAAAGGCCUUUCCAAUUGUAUAAUUGCUUAACAAAUGCAAUCCUUGCAUCAAGCACUGACAACUAUCCUGAAGAAAACAUUCUGAAUACAUUAGAACCAAGUGACUGAGUUGGCUGCAGGGCUUCAUACUGGACAAGUAGAGGAGAAAUUGAUCCUACAUUUAUAUGAAUUAAUAUCAAAGUUUGUGCUUGAUUUCAUAAUUCAUGUGCAACCAUUUAAAGGUUUCACCUCAAGUUCUAUCUUCGGUGAUGUUAUGAAUUUGUUCAUUCGGCUUGGUUUUUUUUCUCGUUAACCAGAAAUAUUAUGAUUUUGUAACAACAUAUUUCCAGUUUAGUUUCCUCUUUAUUCAACAAAAGUUGUGAGAUUCA